rnacentral:tRNA from 1 species
AAUUGACUUGGCAGAAUAAAAUGCGAUUGAUUUAGGAUCAGUUUAUAAUACUAAUAUAUUAGUCGGUUU